ACGAACGCUGGCGGCAUGCCCAACACAUGCCAGUCGAACGCGACCUUCGGGUCUAGUGGCGCACGGGUGCGUAACGCGUGGGAACCUGCCCUUAGGUUCGGAAUAACUCCCCGAAAGGGGUGCUAAUACCGGAUAAUGUCUUCGGACCAAAGAUUUAUCGCCUUUGGAUGGGCCCGCGUUGGAUUAGCUAGUUGGUAGGGUAAAAGCCUACCAAGGCGACGAUCCAUAGCCGGUCUGAGAGGAUGAUCAGCCACACUGGGACUGAGACACGGCCCAGACUCCUACGGGAGGCAGCAGUGGGGAAUAUUGGACAAUGGGCGAAAGCCUGAUCCAGCAAUGCCGCGUGAGUGAUGAAGGCCUUAGGGUUGUAAAGCCCUUUUACCCGGGAUGAUAAUGACAGUACCGGGAGAAUAAGCUCCGGCUAACUCCGUG
rnacentral:rRNA from 1 species